rnacentral:rRNA from 1 species
GAGUCUCCGGACGCUGUGGGAAAGGUGGCCUCUUCUUGAAAGCUAUCACCGAAGGAUGAGCCUGCGUCCCAUCAGCUAGUUGGUAAGGUAAUGGCUUACCAAGGCGAAGACGGGUAGCUGGUUUGAGAGAAUGAUCAGCCACACUGGCACUGGAACACGGGCCAGACUCCUACGGGAGGCAGCAGUGAGGAAUAUUGGGCAAUGGGCGAAAGCCUGACCCAGCCACGCCGCGUGAGUGAUGAAGGCCCUCGGGUCGUAAAGCUCUGUGGAGAGGGACGAAAACCCUGGUUUCAAAUAGGCUCCAGGCUUGACGGUACCUCUUUAGCAAGCACCGGCUAACUCUGUG